GUCAAUAUGCCCGAGUGGUUAAGGGGAGUGACUAGAAAUCACUUGGGCUCUGCCCGCACAGGUUCAAAUCCUGUUGUUGACG
rfam:Linderina pennispora strain ATCC 12442 DL89scaffold_47, whole genome shotgun sequence.